AAGAAACUAGGAUGUUGGCUCAGAAGCAGCCAUUCAUUCAAAGAGUGCGUAAUAGCUCACUAGUCGAGAGGUCCUGCGCCGAAAAUGUCCGGGGCUGAAACGCGCCACCGAAACUAAGGAACCGAAAGGUUGGUAGAGGAGCAUUGCAUGCGGGAAGAAGCAGUACCGGAAGGAGCUGUGGACUUUUAAGAAGAGAGAAUGCCGGAAUGAGUAGCGAGAGGAAGGUGAGAAUCCUUCCGGCCGAAUAUCCAAGGUUUCCAGAGUAAAGCUGAUCUGCUCUGGGUAAGUCGGGGCCUAAGGCGAGGACGAGAGUCGUAGCCGAUGGACAACAGGUGGAGAUUCCUGUACUGCGGUAUGACAGAACUGUGGGGACACGUAAGGAAAGCGGAAGCCGGGAAUGGAAAGCCCGGUGCAAGCGGGGUACCAGUCACUUUGGCAAAUCCGGGUGGCAAUGGGAAGCCGUGAUGCGGAGCGAAAUAAAGUAGUGAAGUCCGUGAGCCAUGCGUCAAGAAAAGCCGCUAUUGUUUAUACCGUACCCGUACCGUAAACCGACACAGGUGGAUGAGGAGAGAAUCCUAAGGCCGGCGGAAGAAGCAUUGUCAAGGAACUCGGCAAAAUGGCCCCGUAACUUAGGGAUAAGGGGUGCCUGGGAAACCAGGCCGCAGAGAAUAGGCUCAAGCAACUGUUUAGCAAAAACACAGGUCUAUGCGAAACCGAAAGGUGAGGUAUAUGGGCUGACGCCUGCCCGGUGCUGGAAGGUUAAGAGGAGAGGUUAGCGCAAGCGAAGCUUUGAAUUUAAGCCCCAGUAAACGGCGGCCGUAACUAUAACGGUCCUAAGGUAGCGAAAUUCCUUGUCGGGUAAGUUCCGACCCGCACGAAAGGCGUAAUGAUUUGAGCGCUGUCUCGACAAUGCAUCCGGUGAAAUUGAAGUACCAGUGAAGAUGCUGGUUACCCGCGCCAGGACGGAAAGACCCCAUGGAGCUUUACUCCAGUUUGGUACUGGGAUUCGGUACUGCAUGUACAGGAUAGGUGGGAGACGAAGAAGGAUGGACGCCAGUCUGUCCGGAGUCGCUGUUGGGAUACCACCCCUGUAGUACUGGGUUUCUAACCAGUUACCAUGAUCUGGUAAUGGGACAAUGUCAGGCGGGGAGUUUGACUGGGGCGGUCGCCUCCGAAAGGGUAUCGGAGGCGCUCAAAGGUUCCCUCAGAAUGGUUGGAAACCAUUCGAAGAGUGCAAAGGCAGAAGGGAGCUUGACUGCGACACCGACGGGUGGAGCAGGUACGAAAGUAGGACUUAGUGAUCCGGUGGUAUAAAGUGGGAUUGCCAUCGCUCAACGGAUAAAAGCUACCCUGGGGAUAACAGGCUUAUCACUCCCAAGAGUUCACAUCGACGGAGUGGUUUGGCACCUCGAUGUCGGCUCAUCGCAUCCUGGGGCUGUAGUAGGUCCCAAGGGUUGGGCUGUUCGCCCAUUAAAGCGGUACGCGAGCUGGGUUCAGAACGUCGUGAGACAGUUCGGUCCCUAU
rnacentral:rRNA from 1 species